GGAGAGGUGACUCAGUGAUUAAGAGCACUGGCUGUUCUUCCAGAGAACCUGGGUUCAAUUCUCAGCAUCCCCA
rnacentral:tRNA from 1 species